rnacentral:tRNA from 1 species
GGUAAGAUGGCCGAGUGUUUAGGCGGUGGAUUGUAGCCCCAUAUACAGAGGUUUAAGUCCUCUUUUUACCA